rnacentral:lncRNA from 1 species
GGGGUUGCGGGGAACGGGCCAUAGGAAUGGUAAUGAAUAGUAAAUCAAACUGAGGAGGAGACUAUUGAUUAUGUAUUAGCUUAACCUAUAUCUGUAACACACUUUUCUCCUUACGGUGUGCAAGUUUGGAGGAGCUAUCCCCUUGCACCCGGCGCUGCGCAACGCUGGAAUAAACAUACUGCUUUAUAACCUAACUCUGGGUUUCAGAGUUUGAUUCCACAAGUCAGUUUGGUGACCCAGAUGGGACCUGCUCUGUUCGGCUGCUGGACCAGCUGAGAGGGGGAACACUUUCGGCUCACCCCAAGAUUUCUCGGAAGGACUCCCCUCCCUCAUCUGAUCACUGCAGGAGCAGACAAGAACCAUCUAUCGGCGGACCAGGACUGCCAAGAAAGAAGCCAUCUGCUAAGCCCCUGAGCUGCAAACUGCCAAGGAACUCCAUACGUUGCCAGGAAUGACAGGAGGGUGCCGACCAUGGAUACACAGCUACGGACUGAUGGUAAACUUGAAACAGCUUGAAGUGAGUAAGGGAUGGUGCCUGAGGGCAGUGGCUGCACUAGUGUCAAUAUUCAAGAAGCCUAUAAAUCUACACUGGGCCAAAGGACACCAGUUUUAAUAUCUCAUACAGUGUUUACUGUAUUGGAGGCAAAAGGGGGACAUUAGUUCAUUGGCUCUCACCCCAAAGAUUCCUGAAAUACCAGGCCAUCCUGGUAGAGCAGGGUGAUGUAGAAAUAAUUGUGACUAAUAUUGUCAACCCAGUAUCUUUCCUUAGCGGAACUCCCGGAGAACCAGUAUUACAUGACUGCUUUGAAUCAACUGAAGCUGCACAUUCCAGCCGGUCAGUCGAACCUGAAGGACGAACCCUUAGAAGAUGCAGAAGACACCUGGUUUACCAGCAGCUGCAGUUUUAUGAGACAAGGAGACUGUAAGGCAGGACAUGCAGUAACUGCUACUGACCAGGUACUGGAAGGGAAUACGAGGUUUGGAAGAGACAUGAGCUGAGACAAAAGGUAGAGAGCGGAGCCUAUUUUGAGACCCAUUAAGAAUCUAGCAGGUAAAAGCCUGCUAGAUUAAAGAAAAGGGGGGAAUUGAAGAGUGAGCAAAGCCUCAAAAUGGUGGUAAGGUAACACUUUGCUAUAGAAAGGGAAAGGGGAACUUCACGAAGAAAAAGACCAGGUAACAUGUACAUUUAAAGUGUAGGAAAGUGGGAAUUGCAAGACACCU